UAGCCAGACUCCUACGGGAGGCAGCAGUGAGGAAUAUUGGUCAAUGGGCGCGAGCCUGAACCAGCCAAGUAGCGUGAAGGAUGACUGCCCUACGGGUUGUAAACUUCUUUUAUAAAGGAAUAAAGUGAGGCACGUGUGCCUUUUUGUAUGUACUUUAUGAAUAAGGAUCGGCUAACUCCGUGCCAGCAGCCGCGGUAAUACGGAGGAUGCGAGCGUUAUCCGGAUUUAUUGGGUUUAAAGGGUGCGUAGGCGGGCUGUUAAGUCAGCGGUCAAAUGUCGGGGCUCAACCCCGGCCUGCCGAUGAAACUGGCGGCCUCGAGUGGGCGAGAAGUAUGCGGAAUGCGUGGUGUAGCGGUGAAAUGCUUAGAUAUUGCGCAGAACUCCGAUUGCGAAGGCAGCAUACCGGCGGCGAUCUGACGCUGAGGCACGAAAGCGUGGGUAUCGAACAGGAUUAGAUACCCUCGUAGCC
rnacentral:rRNA from 1 species